rnacentral:lncRNA from 1 species
CAUGCACAGAAUUAUUUGAAAUAUGUGAAUUGUUAUAUGAAUUAUAUAAUUUGGUAAUUGAUGCAAAUAUGUGAAAUGGUGCUGUGGACGCACAGGUGAGUAUUAGGUGAGUUUUAUAUUAUUUUUAUGAUUUCUGGUUGAUGUGAAUUGUGUUGAAAGCUCAUAAUCUGCACCCUUGAUGUUAGUGCUUAUAUUAUUCACCCCGCACCACACGCUCACCUUGGAUCCAUGUAGGUGCUAGUCGUACAGACCACUAGAGGUGGUUCCGACAUGCUAGUCGUACAGACCACUAGAUGUGAUUCCGACUGGUAGGUGACCUUAGAUUAUGUGCACAGAUGAUUGAUGAGAGAAGCACUAGAGCGUAUUAUUACACAAUUCUAGUCGAACAGACUACUAUGGGUAGUUCCGACUUAUGUGCAAUGUAGUGCCAUACAAGUUACAGUUUGUGACUCCGGCUGGAUUGGAUGUUGAGCUUUAGAAUCAGCCGUACAAGACCACUUUAGGGUCUCUGGUUGAUUUAUUUUCACCUGAUUUAUAUUGAUGCAUCUAUAUUAUGUUUUUGACACUUGGCAUGGCAUAUUUUCUGAAAAGUGAUAAAAGGUUGUGAUUUGAGAUAUUUGCUUAUAUAUAUGUUUAUAUAUGGCUAUUUUCUGGGAAAGUAUACAGGUUUUACAGCGAGGGGUUAGAUAUGUUAUUAAAUGAAAUGUUUUCGAAAAG